rnacentral:misc_RNA from 1 species
UCCGAGUUGACCCCGGCAGUCUCCCAUGAGUCCCCACCACUACGUGCUGGCAACAUGGAACGAGGGUUGCGCUCGUUGCGGGACUUAACCCAACAUCUCACGACACGAGCUGACGACAACCAUGCACCACCUGUGAACCAGCCCCGAAGGGAAACCCUGUUUCCAGAGCGAUCCAGUCCAUGUCAAGCCUUGGUAAGGUUCUUCGCGUUGCAUCGAAUUAAUCCGCAUGCUCCGCCGCUUGUGCGGGCCCCCGUCAAUUCCUUUGAGUUUUAGCCUUGCGGCCGUACUCCCCAGGCGGGGCACUUAAUGCGUUAGCUACGGCGCGGAAAACGUGGAAUGUCCCCCACACCUAGUGCCCAACGUUUACGGCAUGGACUAC